rnacentral:lncRNA from 1 species
AGAAAGAGGAAGCAUUCAGGUACCUUCAUAGGGACACCCAGAAGACACAGGGAUGUGCUUGCCCCUUGUUUGAUGUUCAAAAGAUAAGGAUUCAUGUCAGAGCAACAAGAGAACCACACAAAGCCCCAAGAAUAGAGUCCCUGCCCUUGCUCGCUGCUCCAGUAUUCACAAGCUAGCUCCACUCACCCUGGAUGUCAAGGGAGGCGCCAUCUCACCCCUGCAGCAUCAGGCACUGAAGCUGUGGCUGUGGCGUUGCCUACCCUGGCAUCUGCAUGCUUUGCAUUUGUUGGGUGCUUGCAUCUGUUCCACACAAUGAGCAGUAAUUUUAAACCUGUUUAGCACGCAUUUAACCCAGAUCCUUCCUUUGUGGCCAUUCUGCUUGCAUCUGGGCCUCCAGCGCAGAGAGGCCGUGGGGAACAAAACCUGUGCAGUGCGGCAUCAGCCAGCAGCUGCAUGGAUGUCCAGACCCGGAGAAGGGGGCGAGCCACUCUGAAGGGCACCACGGUCAUAUCACACGUGACCUGCAGCCUUCUGGGCUAGCUACUCCGUCAUCUGGGUUAUAGAUCCCUCUUGGGGAUCAGAACCCUCAGAUCCGCUGAAUAAGAUAAGUACCAGGAAGGAAGGAACCUUCCACGUGACCCUGUGGACGCACCAGGCGAGUCUCAUCCGCCAUGGCACCAUGCACCGGAUGCAAGACAGCUAAAUGCCCCAGGAUGACUAACACGCACCAAGCUGAAGGGCCGGCAGUUAAGGUUCAUGAGAGAUUGCUGCCAGAACCUUCCAUCCCAUGUGUCCCAUUGUGCUUCUGAGUGCGGCUCCAGAGAGGUCACACUGUGCAAGCCUUGGGAUGGUCCCCAGGGCUCUGGCUCCUCUCUGUGACCCUGGCUAGGGAUUUUACUCAGUCUGUUGUCAUGUCAGAGCUAAAAAUGAAAACACCGUCCUGGGAGCCUCACCCCACCCCCCACUGUCCUAGGGAAGGGGUCCAUCCUGAGUUGGAUAGAGCAGUGUGGGAUAUCCUGGGAUGGAGUUGUAGGAGCCUGGGGACCUCCAAAUAGCUGGUGGCUCUCCAGGUCCGUGGACUUUAGAGACACAUUGAAAAUACAUCCGUGCAAGUCUAAACUCACCCCUGAGGCGUCAUCAAAAUGAUAUUUUUUUUUCUCAUGUGCUUCUCACAUACGUGCAAAGAUGGGUGGACUGCAUAGAGUUACAUAUUUGUAAAGUGAUAUUUUUUUUCUCACUACAAAAGGCAAAAACAUGCUUCUCACAUAUGUGCAAAGAUGGGCGGACUGCAUAGAGCUACACAUUUGGAACACCCUGAUUUUUCUACCUGAAGCAUGAGCGCUCUCAAGACAGUAGCAUCGACAGAUGCUGGCGAUGGAAGCAUGCAUCGGUAAGCAAAAUGUGGCGGCCACGAACCACACAGGGUGACCGGACACCACAGACGUGGCUUGUGGGAGAACUGAGUUUCUAAUUUUACUUGAUUUUGAAGACAUCAAAUUUGUAUUUAAAUGGAAAAAGGUACACGUGGCUAACAGCAACCAUGUUGGACAGUGCCUCGCUGUGUCUAAUGCUAUACAGCACUUCCCCAGCACACAACAGAAAAUUCACACAACAGCACGGACACGGAGAAACUGUCCUUAAAACUUGAAGAUUUACUUUUCUUUCAUAUGAUUUCUUUGCCCUUCCACUGCUACACAGCAGAGGCAUCCCUGGAAACUGAAGACGAGAGGAGCAGAGUCCAGUCACUGUUUCGGCCUCUGCUGCCAUCCCUAGGGACAGAUGUUAAUUUGGAUUUCUUCCAUUUAUUUUAAAAUGCUGUCUUAUGCAUCCAUUACACAUGCAGAUUUCUUUUUCUUUUUCUUUUUUUUUUGGAAGCCACAGAUCAAUAUAAAGGCGAUUACCAGUGUUUUUAACCUUACC